rnacentral:rRNA from 1 species
GACGAGCGCUGGCGGCAUGCCUAAUACAUGCAAGUCGAGCGAACAGAUGAAGUGCUUGCACUUCUGACGUUAGCGGCGGACGGGUGAGUAACACGUAAGGAAUCUACCUAUAAGCGGGGGAUAACAUUCGGAAACGGGUGCUAUUACCGCAUAAUAUCUUCUUCCGCAUGGAAGAAGAUUGAAAGACGGCUCUGCUGUCACUUAUAGAUGACCUUGCGGUGCAUUAGUUAGUUGGUGGGGUAAUGGCCUACCAAGACGAUGAUGCAUAGCCGACCUGAGAGGGUGAUCGGCCAUAUUGGGACUGAGACACGGCCCAAACUCCUACGGGAGGCAGCAGUAGGGAAUCUUCCGCAAUGGGCGAAAGCCUGACGGAGCAAUGCCGCGUGAGUGAAGAAGGCCUUCGGGUCGUAAAACUCUGUCAUAAGAGAAGAACAAAUUGUAGAGUAACUGCUACAGUCUUGACGGUAUCUUAUCAGAAAGCCACGGCUAACUACGUGCCAGCAGCCGCCGUAA